GGGUGCCUUACCACAGAACAAAGCUGUCCCUCGUGCUUCCAGUCAGACAGGAAGUGGGAGCCACGAAAGCCUGCCAAGAGCUGUGUUCCAGCUGCUCUAAUAUCACCUCUACCCAAAGGACCUCGCCUGAAAGCCAAGCUGGCACUUUCCUCUGGUCUAAAUUGGUGUCUAGAGACUGACUGGUUCAGAGAGGCCUGAGCUUUAGUAGGCAACAACCUGUCUGGGCUAGUGCUGUCCCCAUUUUACCUUGUGGCUUGGGGUCUACUGUGCUGCUCUGGUCACGAGGCUACCUUCAGUUCCCUCCAGAAGUCAGGCUGGGCGGGACCUCCAGAGUGCAACCCCUUGUCCUGAGGCAGGAUCAUCCCUGUCCAAACCAUUCUGUACAAUACAUCAUCUAAGCUCUAUGUAAGACUAUUGUCAGCCCAGGCAGAACAUGGACCUAACACCAUAAACCUGCCACAGGUAAAGCAGGGGAACUGUGGCAGUGCAUUUGGUGCUUUUAACUAGUUGUUUGAUUCUCUUGUGGGAGUCUCUAUCCAUCCUUAUCCGCUUGUGUUCAAGGAAAAAACCUGUCUUUCGUAAAAUUAAAUAAAUGUGGGGGUGACUUGUAUGCAGGCUAGAUUUAUAGUUGGAACAUUAUGGUAUUGUUCCUCAAAUUACUGGAAAAGGGAGGAAUGUUACAGCAAAUUCAUAAUACAUAUAAGUAAGCACUGAAUUUAGAGUU